rnacentral:rRNA from 1 species
CCCUUAGAUGUUCUGGGCCGCACGCGCGCUACACUGACGAAGUCAGCGAGCAUGUCCUACGCCGACAGGUGCGGGGAAUCUUGUCAAACUUCGUCGUGAUGGGGAUUGAUUAUUGAAAUUCUUGAUCAUCAACGAGGAAUUCCUAGUAAGCGCAAGUCAGCAGCUUGCGUUGAUUACGUCCCUGCCCUUUGUACACACCGCCGUCGCUACUACCGAUUGAAUGGUUUAGUGAGAUCUUCGGAUUGGCGCCACUGCGGCUCAGCAAUGGGCUCGGUGGAUGCCGAAAAGUUGAUCAAACUUGAUCAUUUAGAGGAAGUAAAAGUCGUAACA